rnacentral:rRNA from 1 species
AUACAGAGGUGGCGAGCGUUGUUCGGAUUUACUGGGCGUAAAGGGCGCGUAGGAGGCCAUGUGUGUCGACCGUGAAAUCUCCGGGCUCAACCCGGAAAGUGCGGUCGAAACUGCGUGGCUCGAGCGGGGGAUGGGAAAGCGGAACUCAGGGUGUAGCGGUGAAAUGCGUUGAUAUCCUGAAGAACACCGGUGGCGAAGGCGGCUUUCUGGAACCCGACUGACUCUGAGGCGCGAAAGUGGGGGGAGCAACCAGGAUUAGAUACCCUGGUAGUCCCCACUGUAAACGGUGUGCACUAGACGUGGGGGGCUUCACCCCCUCCGUGUCCCAGCCAACGUGAUAAGUGCACCGCCUGGGGAGUACGGCCGCAAGGCUAAAACUCAAAGGAAUUGGCGGGG